GUUGACCUCGGAUCAGGUAGGAAUACCCGCUGAACUUAAGCAUAUCAAUAAGCGGAGGAAAAGAAACCAACAGGGAUUGCCUCAGUAACGGCGAGUGAAGCGGCAACAGCUCAAAUUUGAAAUCUGGCUCCUUCGGGGCCCGAGUUGUAAUUUGCAGAGGAUGCUUCGGGUACGGGUUCCUUCCGAGUUCCCUGGAACGGGACGCCAUAGAGGGUGAGAGCCCCGUCUGGUAGGA
rnacentral:rRNA from 1 species